CUAGAUAUAGUUUAAAAUAAAAUAUUGGCUUUGGGAGCUAAAGACACUUUCAUAAGUUUUCUAGA
rnacentral:tRNA from 1 species